GCCCCCAUCGUCUAGUGGCCUAGGACGCCACCCUUUCAAGGUGGAAACGGGGAUUCGAUUUCCCCUGGGGGUA
rfam:Actinobacteria bacterium RBG_13_63_9 RBG_13_scaffold_69235, whole genome shotgun sequence.